UAAGGAAUAUUGGACAAUGGAGGCAACUCUGAUCCAGCCAUGCCGCGUGAAGGAAUAAGGCCCUAUGGGUUGUAAACUUCUUUUAGACGGGACAAAACCCCUUUACGUGUAAAGGGUUGAUGGUACUGUCAGAAUAAGCAUCGGCUAACUUCGUGCCAGCAGCCGCGGUAAUACGAAGGAUGCAAGCGUUAUCCGGAAUUAUUGGGUUUAAAGGGUGCGUAGGCGGACUAAUAAGUCAGUGGUGAAAGCCUGCAGCUUAACUGCAGAAUUGCCAUUGAUACUGUUAGUCUUGAGUACAGUUGAGGUGGGCGGAAUGUGUCAUGUAGCGGUGAAAUGCUUAGAUAUGACACAGAACACCGAUUGCGAAGGCAGCUUGCUAAGCUGUAACUGACGCUGAGGCACGAAAGCGUGGGGAGCAAACA
rnacentral:rRNA from 1 species